rnacentral:rRNA from 2 species
UUUUGGAUAAGCCUGGGAAACUGGGUCUAAUACCGGAUAGGAGCGUCCACCGCAUGGUGGGUGUUGGAAAGAUUUAUCGGUUUUGGAUGGACUCGCGGCCUAUCAGCUUGUUNGUGAGGUAAUGGCUCACCAAGGCGACGACGGGUAGCCGGCCUGAGAGGGUGACCGGCCACACUGGGACUGAGACACGGCCCAGACUCCUACGGGAGGCAGCAGUGGGGAAUAUUGCACAAUGGGCGCAAGCCUGAUGCAGCGACGCCGCGUGAGGGAUGACGGCCUUCGGGUUGUAAACCUCUUUCAGUAGGGAAGAAGCGAAAGUGACGGUACCUGCAGAAGAAGCACCGGCUAACUACGUGCCAGCAGCCGCGGUAAUACGUAGGGUGCGAGCGUUAUCCGGAAUUAUUGGGCGUAAAGAGCUCGUAGGCGGUUUGUCGCGUCUGUCGUGAAAGUCCGGGGCUUAACCCCGGAUCUGCGGUGGGUACGGGCAGACUAGAGUGCAGUAGGGGAGACUGGAAUUCCUGGUGUAGCGGUGGAAUGCGCAGAUAUCAGGAGGAACACCGAUGGCGAAGGCAGGUCUCUGGGCUGUAACUGACGCUGAGGAGCGAAAGCAUGGGGAGCGAACAGGAUUAGAUACCCUGGUAGUCCAUGCCGUAAACGUUGGGCACUAGGUGUGGGGACCAUUCCACGGUUUCCG